rnacentral:rRNA from 1 species
GACGAACGCUGGCGGCGUGCCUAAUACAUGCAAGUAGAACGCACAGUUUAUACCGUAGCUUGCUACACCAUAGACUGUGAGUUGCGAACGGGUUAGUAACGCGUAGGUAACCUGCCUGGUAGCGGGGGAUAACUAUUGGAAACGAUAGCUAAUACCGCAUAAUAUUGAUUAUUGCAUGAUAAUUGAUUGAAAUAUGCUAUUGCAUCACUACCAGAUGGACCUGCGUUGUAUUAGCUAGUAGGUGAGGUAACGGCUCACCUAGGCGACGAUACAUAGCCGACCGGAGAGGGUGAUCGGCCACACUGGGACUGAGACACGGCCCAGACUCCUACGGGAGGCAGCAGUAGGGAAUCUUCGGCAAUGGACGAAAGUCUGACCGAGCAACGCCGCGUGAGUGAAGAAGGUUUUCGGAUCGUAAAGCUCUGUUGUAAGAGAAGAACGGGUGUGAGAGUGGAAAGUUCACACUGUGACGGUAUCUUACCAGAAAGGGACGGCUAACUACGUG